rnacentral:rRNA from 1 species
AGUGAACGCUGGCGGUAGGCCUAACACAUGCAAGUCGAACGGCAGCACAGUAAGAGCUUGCUCUUACGGGUGGCGAGUGGCGGACGGGUGAGGAAUACAUCGGAAUCUACUUUUUCGUGGGGGAUAACGUAGGGAAACUUACGCUAAUACCGCAUACGACCUACGGGUGAAAGCAGGGGAUCUUCGGACCUUGCGCGAUUGAAUGAGCCGAUGUCGGAUUAGCUGGUUGGCGGGGUAAAGGCCCACCAAGGCGACGAUCCGUAGCUGGUCUGAGAGGAUGAUCAGCCACACUGGAACUGAGACACGGUCCAGACUCCUACGGGAGGCAGCAGUGGGGAAUAUUGGACAAUGGGCGCAAGCCUGAUCCAGCCAUACCGCGUGGGUGAAGAAGGCCUUCGGGUUGUAAAGCCCUUUUGUUGGGAAAGAAAAGCAGCAGGUUAAGACCCCGCUGUUCUGACGGUACCCAAAGAAUAAGCACCGGCUAACUUCGU